rnacentral:rRNA from 1 species
CCUACGGGAGGCAGCAGUGAGGAAUAUUGGUCAAUGGGCGCGAGCCUGAACCAGCCAAGUAGCGUGAAGGAUGACGGCCCUAUGGGUUGUAAACUUCUUUUAUAGGGGAAUAAAGUGCAGUAUGUAGACGGCUUUGCAUGUACCUUAUGAAUAAGGAUCGGCUAACUCCGUGCCAGCAGCCGCGGUAAUACGGAGGAUCCGAGCGUUAUCCGGAUUUAUUGGGUUUAAAGGGAGCGUAGGCGGGUUGUUAAGUCAGUUGUGAAAGUUUGCGGCGCAACCGUAAAAUUGCCGUUGUUACUGGCAUCCUUGAGUACAGUCUCGGUAGGCGGAAUUCGUGGUGUAGCUGU